AAGAACUGACUCAUUGGAAAAGACCCUGAUACUGGGAAAGACUGAAGCCUUUCUUGUCUUUAACAGUGGCCAUGUGACCACUGAGAAGUGAAGGAAGGCCCAUCCAAGGGCUUCCGGGAAGAGACUGGUGCUACUAUUUCCCCCUCUUCCUGCCUGGAAUGAGCAUGUUAAGGCACAAAUCUGCAGGAGUCAUCUUAGAGCUGUGAGGUGGAUGAACGAAACAUGCUAAAGAAGGAAAAGCAGAAAGAGAGUUGUUACAACGCUGUGUAUAAGCACCACCGUCGCUCGUUUCCCUACUUCCUGAUUCCUUCCGAGACAAAUGAACUCACUGUUUAAGCCCUGCUAGUUAGGGUUUCUGAUAGUCGCAGUCACAUACAUGCCUGACGGGUACCCUUCCUUCCCGCUCCUUCUUUCUAUACCAUGCUUCCUCUCAUUGCACGGGCUAGGGUCUCAGGGGCAGUGUCCAACAGGGACGGCAGUAAGAGUGAGGGCAGCAGUGGUCAUCCUUGAACUGUCUCUGCUUUUAAUGAGGAAAUAUUAACAGAAUACUUCUAAAGCCUCCCUACUAAGAAAACUGUUUGCUUUGGGGUUUUGGUUGAAGACAACCAUCAGGUUCAGAAAAUUCUCUUCUACUUCUAUUCUGCCCAGAAGAUUUUCUCUUAUUAUUAAUGUUGAAUUGUGUUUUAUGAUUUUUAAAUUUUGAUGUGUAUUAAGAUGAUCAUAGAGUUUUUCUUUAUUAAUCUGUUAAUGUGGUGAAUUGUAUUGUUCGAUUUUUCUAAUGUUGAAUCCGCCACAUAUCCUUCCUUGAUUAUGAUGAAUGUAAAAACAUACUGCUAACUUUUUAUUUUUGGAUGAUACUUGCUUUACAGUGUUGUGGUGGUCUCUACCAUACAUCAGUAUGAAUCGGUCUUUUAUACUGGUUGUACAUACCCCCUCCCUCUUGAGUCUCUCUCCCCCCACAUGUCACUCUUCUAGGCUGUCACGGAGCACCAGGCUGGGCUCCCUGUUACCCAGCAGUUUCCUGCUAGUUAUAUAUUUCACACAUUAUAGUCAUACUGCUAACUUGUAUGUAGAAUGCUAUUUUUUAUGUUCCUGAGAUUGACUUAUAUAUUUUUUCUUGCAGUCCUCAUCUAGUUUUGGUACCAAAGUUUUAGUAGCUUCAUAAAACCAGCUGGCAAGCUCGCCUUCUUUUGUUUCCCUAUGGCAUUUAAUAUACGAAUUACCUGAUCUUUAAAAUUGGUAAAGCUUGCCUAUAAAAGACCUGAGGCCUUUUUUGUUUGGUAUAUUUGUGUGUGUGUGUAAGUAUGCACAUGUCCGUUCUGUAAGACAGAUAUUUUUACCUACCAAGUCAAAUUUU